rnacentral:piRNA from 1 species
AAAGUUCCUGAGGCUUCUUACAGAGAC